GACGAACGCUGGCGGCGUGCUUAACACAUGCAAGUCGAACGGAAAGGCCCUGCUUUUGUGGGGUGCUCGAUUGGCGAACGGGUGAGUAACACGUGAGUAACCUGCCCUUGACUUUGGGAUAACUUCAGGAAACUGGGGCUAAUACCGGAUAGGAGCUCCUGCUGCAUGUGGGGGGUUGGAAAGUUUCGGCGGUUGGGGAUGGACUCGCGGCUUAUCAGCUGGUUGGUGGGGUAGUGGCUUACCAAGGCUUUGACGGGUAGCCGGCCUGAGAGGGUGACCGGCCACAUGGGGACUGCGGUACGGCCCAGACUCCUACGGGAGGCAGCAGUGGGGAAUAUUGCACAAUGGGCGGAAGCCUGAUGCAGCAACGCCGCGUGCGGGAUGACGGCCUUCGGGUUGUAAACCGCUUUCGCCUGUGACGAAGCGUGAGUGACGGUAAUGGGUAAAGAAGCACCGGCUAACUACGUG
rnacentral:rRNA from 1 species